rnacentral:rRNA from 1 species
GACGUAGGGCGCAAGCGUUGUCCGGAUUUAUUGGGCGUAAAGAGCUCGUAGGCGGCUUGCCACGUCUGCCGUGAAAACCCACAGCUCAACUGUGGGCUUGCGGUCGAUACGGGCAGGCUAGAGUUCGGUAGGGGAGACUGGAAUUCCUGGUGUAGCGGUGAAAUGCGCAGAUAUCAGGAGGAACACCGGUGGCGAAGGCGGGUCUCUGGGCCGAUACUGACGCUGAGGAGCGAAAGCGUGGGGAGCGAACAGG